GAUGAACGCUGGCGGCGUGCCUAAUACAUGCCAGUCGAGCGAACGGACGAGAAGCUUGCUUCUCUGAUGUUAGCGGCGGACGGGUGAGUAACACGUGGAUAACCUACCUAUAAGACUGGGAUAACUUCGGGAAACCGGAGCUAAUACCGGGUGAUAUUUUGAACCGCAUGGUUCAAAAAUGAAAGACGGUCUUGCUGUCACUUAUAGAUGGAUCCGCGCUGCAUUAGCUAGUUGGUAAGGUAACGGCUUACCAAGGCAACGAUGCAUAGCCGACCUGAGAGGGUGAUCGGCCACACUGGAACUGAGACACGGUCCAGACUCCUACGGGAGGCAGCAGUAGGGAAUCUUCCGCAAUGGGCGAAAGCCUGACGGAGCAACGCCGCGUGAGUGAUGAAGGUCUUCGGAUCGUAAAACUCUGUUAUUAGGGAAGAACAUAUGUGUAAGUAACUGUGCACAUCUUGACGGUACCUAAUCAGAAAGCCACGGCUAACUACGUG
rnacentral:rRNA from 1 species